rnacentral:rRNA from 1 species
AAGGUAGCGAAAUUCCUUGUCGGGUAAGUUCCGACCUGCACGAAUGGUGCAACGACUUGGGCGCUGUCUCAACCAGGAACUCGGUGAAAUUGUAGUAGUGGUGAAGAUGCCACUUACCCGCGAAAGGACGGUAAGACCCCAUGAACCUUUACUGUAUCUUGGUAUUGUACAUUGGUAAGAUAUGUGUAGGAUAGGUGGGAGGCUGUGAAGUCGGUACGCCAGUAUCGGUGGAGCCAUCGUUGAAAUACCACCCUUAUUUUAUUGAUUUACUAACUUGUUCAGUUAGCCUGACCAAGGACAUUGCCAGGUGGGCAGUUUGACUGGGGCGGUCGCCUCCAAAAAGUAACGGAGGCUCGCAAAGGUUCCCUCAGGCUGGUUGGUAAUCAGCCGUAGAGCGCAAGGGUAUAAGGGGAGCUUGACUGUGAGACUGACAGGUCGAUCAGAUGCGAAAGCAGGUCCUAGUGAUCCGGUGGUUCUGAAUGGAAGGGCCAUCGCUCAAAGGAUAAAAGGUACUCGUGGGGAUAAC